GCCGAACGGCUGGAGAUGCCCUUAGUGGCAGGCAGAAACAAAGGAUUCAGAUAGCUCGAGCAUUGUGAUGUAUGCUGACAACUAUUUUGUUCCAUGAUCCGUUCAACACAAUUGAUGCUCAUAUAGGACCCCAAUUUUCCAAGAUCGAUGGUUUCGCCGCGGUCGUCGGGAGAAAUAUCAUCAAUGGUAGGGGAAAAGCAGGUAGGCUGAGGCGGGCACCCACACCAAGCGUCCGACCCAGGAAGGCAGCCCUGCAGCUCCGCCUCGUGCCACUCCCCAUCUCUAUGUUGGUGUCAGACCCACCGCAAGGUAGAGGCAGAAGAGGAGGUCGGGAAGAGAAGCUGCAAGGUAGGAGGCUUUUGAUCUGAAGGCAAGUUGGACGAUCUGCUCACAAAGACACACUACUUGAAAAGAUUGAUCAGAGAAAGUUGUUGAAGUGGAAGAAGCUGAACCUGUAGAAGAGCUGAAAAAAGGACGUGGUAGAAAGAAGGAAGCGAAGCCUAAACAGUAUAAUGAUUACUACCUCGCCAAGCCGCGCAUCCAGGACGCGACGCUUGCUGGAAAGCUGGUCAAGUAGGCCCUCGACUGCGAGUUUUAGCUGAUUGAUCCUGCGCAUUAGCCUAAUUGUUACAAUAAACGGACUUACAACAAUGAUGCUUUCUAUAUUGAAUUCUUAUAUCCGACCUCAUCAUUGCUUAGUUUCCUUUCCUGAUGUCAAGACACAAAGAAUUUGAGAUUCAAUUUAUCUUUUUUAGUUUUCACACUAGAGUGCUUCAUUUAUAUGUAUUACUGUAGACACAUGGGAAUCCUCAAGGUGUCAGGCUUGUUCUUAUUAUUGCUCAUGCAACCCUAAACUUUAGUUAAAUGUACUACUUUUCAGGUUUUAGUGUCUGGAUCAUCAGUACAAAAUAGAGUCGAUGGUAUAUGUCAAUUCUGUAUUGGUUCUAGGCAAGUAGGUUGACAUGUUCAUCUGUUAUCAUGAGUGUCGUGUUUACACUUGCAGUUCAGAUAUUAAGCUUAAGCUAAAGAUCUGACUGUACUGUCUAGAGGUGGAAUGGAUAGAGUUGAAGGUGAGGGUCGUCUAUGGGCCAUCGUCCGACAUGGUGGCCAACAAGUUGAGGUGAACGUAGGCAACGUUGGUCAUGCUCAAUAGCAAUUGUUUUGGAGACACAGGAGAAGACUUGGGGCGACGUAGCAGUGUGUGGGGCGGGCGGCGCGUCGGGAAAGGCCACAACAACACCUGCGCUUCAAUCACUUACGAUGGCCUCUGAUCGAACCAUACUAAGCGAGUGUAAAGAAAUUGACAAAGUGCAAAAUUGUUCAAAGAAAUGUGACUUGGGGCGACGUAGCAGUGUGUGGGGCGGGCGGAGCGCCGGGAAAGGCCACAGCAACACCUGCGCUUCAAUCGAUUACGAUGGCCUCUGAUCGAACCAUACUAAGCCAGUGUAAAGGAAUUGACAAAGUGCAAAAGUGUUCAAAAAAAUAUAGAGGGUGGUCCCACAUCUCAAAAUAGAGGGAGAACUCAGUUGUGUCAUUUUAUCCAACUAUAUAUCAAACAUGUGCCUUUUUUGUCAAGGACAAAGAAAAGUGUACUAUGA